CCUUUUCCGGUUGCCAUCCUUGCCAUCCGCUGUCAUGCCUCUCCACCGCCACGCUUCCCCAUCAUUAUGGAGAUGGACUUGUCCUGGAACCAUAAGCCAAAUAAAGCCUUCCUUCUCCAAGUCUGCUUGAACCAAUAUUGCAACUGAAAUUUGUCGAAGGCCGAGGCAUUUGCUGAAACAGGAAAUGGAGAACAUUACAGCAGAGUGGAGCCCUUUUGUUUUCAGGUCGGAGCUGUUGUGUUUGUAAAGAAAAGGAAGCAGAGAACAGGCUGGCACUGGUAUCAUUAUUUCCCCCUUCCUGAAUAUUUCCUACCAAGCAACUGCUUUGGAAAUAACAAAAUGAUUUCACUAUGGAAAAAAUGCCGAGAAAAGAAUCCGGGGCUGUCUGAUUGGCUAAUAAUGAACAUAAAGGACGUCGUGCUUGUUGAAUGGCAGAUUGAAAUCCGGCUAGUUGGUGAGAACGUCUGUCUAGUUGGUGAGAACGUCUGUCCAUUUUUACUGAAUCUGCUGACUUCCCAGAGUUCCAUUGGUGGCUUUCUGGAUUGCCUUAGGUCUUGCUUCAGGACAGCGGAAUGGGAGCAAUAAAACAAAAAGAAGUUAUAUUUACAAUCUCAGACUGAUAAAAAUUUAUAGCUAAGAAGACCCACAGAGAUUAACUGGGCCUGCUUACCCUAUUCCACCGUUUGCAUUGAGGAGAGACAGAAAUCAGAGGUCAAUGGACUUUCCCAGGAUGCAAUAGUUCAUGUGUGUUCAGCCUGAAUUGUCUGCGCCCCAUGUGUGCAUCCAGGGACAACAGGGAAGAGUCCUGGAUCCCCUGGGACUGGAGUUACAGACAGCUGGAAGCUACCACAGGGGUGCUGGAAACCUAACCAAGACCCUCUGCAAGAGCAGUAAGUGCUCUCAGUAGCUGAGCUGGCUCUCCAAGCUCACCUUGAUGGACUUAGUCCAGGGGAGUUGACCUUCCCUUCACUUGUGGCAGUGUAGUUUGUACAUGAUCACAGUAGUCUCAGUCUCUAGUCAACAGGACAGAAACUGCCAAACUGGAAGUUUUUCCAGUAUUGGAAAUACAACUGUGAGACCCAGUGCCUGGAAUUCCUGGCACAAGAACACUUUCCCCAGAUUGCUUUAUAAUUAUUUCUUCAAGUGUCUGCCUCCCGACUAACGUGACAUGUGGAGCGAGUCACCGGUCAGAGUCUUCCUUGUCUCCAAAAGCGCUUGGCAUGAUGCCUGAUAGCAAAUAUUUAUCAAGAACCAUCUGGGUGCCAAAGAACUACUCCAGGGACCGCAGAAACUGCAAGGGAAACACUCCUGCCCUCGCUGAGAAUAUUGGAGGGGUAAUAUACAACACAAGAAUCAACACAAGACCCCCAAAUAAGUCAUGAAAAUGGCAGAUACCCUUGCGUGGCCAUUCGAUGCCUACAUUUGGAUACUGUGUAAGGACUAAGUCUUUUUGUUCUAAUGAAGAUGUUUCAUGAGUUUUGUCUUUGCAUUAAGUGGAUGAUGCUACUGAAGAGACAAACCCUGGAGGCAUGGAGCUGCUUCUUCCUGAACCUAGGAAUGCUCAUCCUGCUUUAAAAGCCUUCAGGUGUCAGAGGCAUGUGGAUUUCGAGUGCCGUACAACGCCGAUUGCCCAUCCUCCGCACACAUUCACCUUCUGCAAAUACUUGUUCAAGGGCCUUUGACCACAGAAAGAAGUGGGUAAGUUUGGUGAGAA
ensembl:processed_transcript C330024D21Rik RIKEN cDNA C330024D21 gene